GACGAACGCUAGCGGCGGGCUUAAUACAUGCAAGUUUAGGGGUUCAGCAAUGGACACCGGCGGACGGGUGCGUAACACGUAUGCAACCUGCCCUUUACUGGAGGAUACUCCGGAGAAAUUCGGCACAACACUCCAUAUACUCAUACUUUCGCAUGGGAGAAUGAGGAAAGGUUACGGUAAAGGAUGGGCAUGCGUCUGAUUAGCUAGUUGGCGAGGUAACGGCUCACCAAGGCGACGAUCAGUAGCUGGUCUGAGAGGAUGAUCAGCCACACUGGCACUGAGAUACGGGCCAGACUCCUACGGGAGGCAGCAGUAGGGAUAUUGGUCAAUGGGCGAAAGCCUGAACCAGCCACGCCGCGUGCAGGAAGAAGGUCCUCUGGAUGUAAACUGCUUUGCCUAAGGAUAAAGAGAGGCUAUACGCCUAAAUGAAGGUAC
rnacentral:rRNA from 1 species